rnacentral:rRNA from 1 species
UACGUAGGGGGCAAGCGUUAUCCGGAAUUAUUGGGUGUAAAGGGUGCGUAGACGGAGAAACAAGUUGGUUGUGAAAUCCCUCGGCUCAACCGAGGAACUGCAACCAAAACUAUUUCCCUUGAGUGUCGGAGAGGAAAGUGGAAUUCCUAGUGUAGCGGUGAAAUGCGUAGAUAUUAGGAGGAACACCAGUGGCGAAGGCGACUUUCUGGACGAUAACUGACGUUGAGGCACGAAAGUGUGGGGAGCAAACAGG